GCCGGGUGUGAUGGCACACACCUGUAAUCCCAGCUACUAAGGGGGGCUGAGGCAGGAGAAUUGCUUGAAUCUGGGAGGCAGGGGUUGCAGUGAGCCAAGAUUGCUCCACUGCACUCCAGCCUGGGUGACAGAGUGAGACCCUGUCUCAA
rnacentral:SRP_RNA from 1 species